rnacentral:lncRNA from 1 species
UUCAAAAUUAAAAUUUUAAAAUUUAAAAUUUAAAAUGUACAAUUUAAAUUUUGAAAUUUAAAAUUUAAAAUUUAAAAUUUAAAAUUUAUAAAUUUACAUAUUUAAAAAUUUAAAAUUUGAAAUUUGAAAUUGAAAAUAAAAAUUUAAAAAUUGAAAUUUAAAAUAAAAGAUUGAAAUUUAAAAUUUGAAAUUUGAAAUUGAAAAUUGAAAAUUAAUAAUUUAAAACUAAAAUUUAAAAUGAAAUUUGAUAUUUGAUAUUUGAAAAUUAAGAUUUGAAAUUAGAGAAUUAGAAAAUUUGAACUUUAAAAAUUUAAAAUUUAAAAUUUAAAAUUAAUAUUAAAAUUUAAUUUUAAAAUUUUUGAAUUUAAAAUUUAAAAUCUAGGUUGAAAUUUAAAAUUUUAUGUUGAAAUUUGAAAUUUAGAACUUGAUACAUUUUUGGGUUAAGGGAGCCCAAGAAUAGUAAAAUUUUUUUCCUUUGGUUAGAAUAGAUUGUAGUUUUACUCAAUUUUUUAGAGUAAAAUCUAGGUUGAAAUUUAAAAUUUUAUGUUGAAAUUUGAAAUUUAGAACUUGAUACAUUUUUGGGUUAAGGAAG